CCCCUUAGAGUUUGAUCAUGGCUCAAGAUGAACGCUAGCGGGAGGCUUAAUACAUGCAAGUCGAGCGGCAAGGUCUUCGGACCCUAGAGCGGCGCACGGGUGAGUAACGCGUACGCAAUCUGCCCUUCAGUGAGGAAUAGCCCUGGGAAACUGGGAUUAAUACCUCAUAACAUUAUUUGUCUGCAUGGAUGAAUAAUUAAAGUUCUGGCGCUGAAGGAUGAGCGUGCGUCUGAUUAGCUAGUUGGUAGGGUAACGGCCUACCAAGGCUACGAUCAGUAGGGGGCGUGAGAGCGUGACCCCCCACACGGGUACUGAGACACGGACCCGACUCCUACGGGAGGCAGCAGUAAGGAAUAUUGGGCAAUGGAGGCAACUCUGACCCACCCAUCCCGCGUGAAGGAUUAAGGCCCUAUGGGUUGUAAACUUCUUUUGUUUGGGAAGAAAUCUGGACAUUUAUGUGCAGUUGACGGUACCUUACGAAUAAGCACCGGCUAACUCCGUGCCAGCAGCCGCGGUAAUACGGAGGGUGCAAGCGUUAUCCGGAAUCACUGGGUUUAAAGGGUGCGUAGGCGGUUUGAUAAGUCAGAGGUGAAAGCUAGCAGCUUAACUGUUAUAUUGCCUUUGAUACUGUCAGACUUGAAUCAAGUUGAGGUAGGCGGAAUGUGACAUGUAGCGGUGAAAUGCAUAGAUAUGUCAUAGAACACCAAUUGCGUACGCAGCUUGCUGGGCUUGAAUUGACGCUGACGCACGAAAGGCGUGGAGAUCAAACAAGGAUUAGAUACCCUGGUAGUCCACGCCCUAAACGAUGUUAACUCGAUAUUUAUUCUUCCAGGAGUGAGUGUCCAAGCGAAAGUCGUUAAGUCAGCACGUGGAGUAGUACGACCGCAAGAUGAAACUCAAGGAUAUUUGACGGCGUCCGCACAGGGAUUGACAUAACAUGGUUUUCAUUCGAUGAUACGCGAGCAUCCUUACUUAAGAGUCACUGA
rnacentral:rRNA from 1 species